GAUGAACGCUGGCGGCGUGCCUAAUACAUGCAAGUCGAGCGAACGGACGAGAAGCUUGCUUCUCUGAUGUUAGCGGCGGACGGGUGAGUAACACGUGGAUAACCUACCUAUAAGACUGGGAUAACUUCGGGAAACCGUAGCUAAUACCGGAUAAUAUUUUGAACCGCAUGGUUCAAAAGUGAAAGACGGUCUUGCUGUCACUUAUAGAUGGAUCCGCGCUGCACUAGCUAGUUGGUAAGGUAACGGCUUACCAAGGCAACGAUGCAUAGCCGACCUGAGAGGGUGAUCGGCCACACUGGAACUGAGACACGGUCCAGACUCCUACGGGAGGCAGCAGUAGGGAAUCUUCCGCAAUGGGCGAAAGCCUGACGGAGCAACGCCGCGUGAGUGAUGAAGGUCUUCGGAUCGUAAAACUCUGUUAUUAGGGAAGAACAUAUGUGUAAGUAACUGUGCACGUCUUGACGGUACCUAAUCAGAAAGCCACGGCUAACUACGUG
rnacentral:rRNA from 1 species